GGAGAGGUACCGAAGUGGCCAUAACGGCGCCGACUCGAAAUCGGAUGGGGCUUCACCGCCCACGUGGGUUCGAAUCCCACCCUCUCCG
rnacentral:tRNA from 1 species